CAUACAUGCAAAACAUACUGCUAAUUGCAUUAGCAAAAGAUCAAUGUAAAAACACUCCACAAUUCUGCAACUGUCAACUUAAAAAUUUUGGUUCUAGUGGUUGAAAGGUCCAAUGUUGUAUUCUUGCCAGUGAGUUAAGUUGUACAGAAGAUCGUCAACACCAGCACAGUUUACAGAACCUCACAGACCCAAAGGAACAUCAUUAGACUAAGUAACUACAGGAGGCAUGUGUCCACAUGGGUGAAGUAAAGAGGGUCAGUAUUGGUCAAGUGACAGUGUGGGUAAUCUGACAAGUCAGUGAUGUUAAGAAGGUUCAUAGUUUAAGAAAUAUCUAAAAUAUUUUAAAAACCAUAAAACUGCAACACAUGAUUUUUACACCUAGUUACUAGAAAACUAAGGAAAGCACUUAAUAGUUUUGAAUAAAGUAACAUGGAAAGCACUUUUACUAAUCUACAAAAAAACCUUCUAAUGCAUUAUGAGAGAUAGUUUAUAAUACAAGAAGGCAUAUUGCUCAGUAAGAAGAGGUUCUAUAAGAAAAGCACUUACUAAGUUAGAGACUAAGAGAACAACCACUUUAAAGAUGAAUUAAAUGCCCAAUUCGGGGAGGGAUGACUGGUGUAAGAAAAAGGAAAAGCUUAAGAAAACACUUCCUGAUAAUACCAACCUUUCUUUCAUCAUCCACUGCAUUUGACAGAAAUUAAUGUUUUAGAGUUUUUACCUUUGACACUUUUAUUCCUUGUACCCACCGCUUCUGGUCUCAGAGCCCUGCCACUGCCCCCGCGGCCAAGCGAGUGGCUCAGAUGCAGGCCAUCAGGGGUGUGGUGGUGGGAGACUGUAGGUGAAAGUUGCCUACUGAUCAGUUACACAACCAAUGCAUUUCCUGGAGAAUAUAUCCCUACUGUGAUGUGUUCUUAAUUUGCUUUUCCCUUGUGAGUCCUGCAUCAUUUGAAAAUGUCCGUGCAAAGUGGUAUCCUGAGGUGCGGCACCACCGUCCCAACACUCCCAUCAUCCUAGUGGGAACUAAACUUGAACCUAGGGAUGAUAAAGACACGAUCGAGAAACUGAAGAAGAAGCUGACUCCCAUCACCUAUCUGUAGGGUCUAGCUAUAGCUAAGGGGACUGGUGCUGUAAAAUACCUGGAGUGCUCGGCGCUCACACAGUGAGGCCUCAACAGUGUUAGACGAAGAGAUUCAAGCAGUCCUCUGCCCACCUCCCGUGAAGAAGAGGAAGAGAAAAUGCUUGCUGUUGUAAAUGUCUGAGCCCCUUGUUCUUGGUCCUGUCCCUUUGAAUCUUGUACACUUUGCUUUAAAAAAGGUGGAGCCUGCACACUCAAUGCCAACUUUUUGUUACAGAUUAAUUUCUCCAUAAAACCAUUUUGAACCAAUUAGUAAUUCUAAGGUUUUGUUUGUUCUAAAUGUAAGAGUUCAGAGUCAUAUUAUAUUCAAAUUUAGACCUAAAAUGACAAACUUUCUUAAAAUCUUAUUUUUCAAAAGCCAUAUUCUUGCUCAGAUUAAGAGUUGCCAAAAUACCUUCUUAACUACACUGCAUUGUUGUGCCAAGAACACCGAGUAUUAAACUGUGUAAAGACCUUCGUCUUUCAGAAGACUGUAGCUUCUGUAGUUACCAGAUGCAGACACUCGCUAAGUAGUUUUCAGAUGUGUAAAGCAGAACAGCCUCCUGAAUGAAGCGUUGCCAUUUAACUCACCAGUGAUUUAUCAGCCCAUGUUCAUGACGUAACAUUGUGCCAUAAUGGAAUGGGUGUAACAUCUCAGCUCUUUGGAUAAGUCUUUUUGAUUUCAUAGUGAAUUUUCUAAAAAUUGGUUGACCAGCUUUUGCUGAGAUUUUGAACAGAACUCAUGUGUCUCCUCUAAUGAAGUAUUCUGUUUAGUUGUGGGUGUGCUGGGUGGGGUGUGUGUGAUCAAAGGACAAAGACAGUAUUUUGAUAAUAUUUGAGUAGCAGUUUCUGUAUACGUGAUCUCUAUACAAGGUAGUAACUGCAAGAUGUUCUUAUUCACAUUGUGGAGAACUUUUAGUUGCACAUUGGCAAAGUGCUUGCAGGUUAAGAAAUGAAUCAUGGUGGGUCGCUGGAUUUUCUGAUUAUUUGCACUCUUAGUAUAAACAUGAAGUCAUUGGCAUUUAUAUGAGAAAAAUAGUGCUAUUAGCCCCAAAAUAUUUCAGGUUACAUAUUUUCUGUCACUGAUUUCCCCUUCUCUCUAUAGGAAUUAUAGAAAAACAUUUACUAUAAAGCCUUACUAAAGUAAUUUUCGGGAUCAAUUACUCCACAUGAAUGUUAAUUAAAC
rnacentral:lncRNA from 1 species